GGGGAAGGCGCGCCCCGGGCGCGGGUGGGAGCGCGCGAGGGGGCGACGGGGAGCCGCGGGCGUGGGAGGGAGAGGGGCUGCGAGUGAGCGCGGAGAGGGGUGUGCGCAAGGUGGACCGGAUGUGAGUGCGCUGCUGCCAGGGCAAGCGGGAAGGUGUGUCCCGGAGGAGGGAGAAGAAUGGCGGGAUUCAGAGGUGAGGAGGCAGAAGAAGAUUCCAAGCUCUGGACCUCUGGGGGCCACUGGGAGAGUUGAAGGAAUUCAUGAACUUUUAAAAUACUUUAUUCUACAGAAGGAGAUCUUCUUAACUAAUUAGAAAAAGAAUCGGAUUUUACUGCUCCAGGAGUUGAGAAUGAACUUGGUUACUAAUCCCCAAAGUAAUAGAUAAACUAGGUGUGGAUGCUUCUUUACUAAAUUGUAUCAGAGAAUCACAAAUGAACAUGACUUGUGCAUGCAUAAACCUCAGCAGACUGAACUAACCAUCUUUAGAUUAUUUACACAUGUGCUCCUAAUUGAUAUGGUCACCUUUAUAUUAUAGGACAGCAUAUUUGCUUAUUAUUCACAGGUACAUGUAAAGGAGAAACGAGAGUGGCAGGAAUAGUUGGCCUCAUUCCUCUCCAACAGGUCAGAAAAACUUGUUGUUGUUGUUGUUGUUGUGUAGCAUUUUAGAUACAUCAAUUAUUUGGUCUUACUGUGAGACGAAAAACACAUUAGACAAUGUACAGAUUCUUGGCAGAGGUGGUGUAUCAGUCCAUUUUCAUACUGCUCUGAAGAAAUGCCCAAGACUGGGUAAUUUAUAAAGAAAAAGAGGCUUAAUGGACUCACAGUUCCACACGGCCCAGGAGGCCUCCUCAUAGCGGAAGGUGAAGGAGGAGCAAAGGCACAUCUUACAUGGGGGCAGGCAAGAGCACGUGUGCAGGGGAACUGCCCUUUAUAAAACCAUCAGAUUUCGUGAUACUUAUUCACUAUUGCAAGAACAGCAUGGGAAAAACCCACCCCCAUGAUUCAGUUACCUCCCACCGGGUCCCGCCCAUGACAUGUGGGAAUUAUGGGAGUUACGUUUCAAAAUGAGAUUUGCGUGAGGACACAGCCGAACCCUAUCAGGUGGCUUCUGGUGAACUCUUCUUACCCUGCUUCACCAAGUCACUUUGAAAUUUUUUUUUUCAGAGAAAUAAUUGCUCUUUGCUGCAGUUGUCAGCUGUCCUGCUGGAAUUUUGGAAACAGCAGGGCUGCAGAAGGAGGGCUUGAACUACCCACCGGAGACAGGGUCUUGCUUUGUCACCCAGGCUGCAGGACAAUGGCAUGAUCUCAGCUCACUGCCACCCCUGCCUUCCAGGCUGAAAGAUUCCUCCCACCUCAGCCUACUGAGUAACUGGGACUACAGGUGUUCACCACCACAAUGGCUAAUUUUUUGUACUUUUGCAAGAGAUGGGAGUUUCGCCAUGUUCCCUAUGAUUGGUCUCGAAUGCCUGAGCCCAAGCUGUCCAUCCUCGUUGGCCUCCCGAAGUGCUGGGAUUAUAGGUGUGAGCCACUACAGCUGAUCUCUACAAAGUUUGAAAACAUGCAAAGCAAUUCUGUUGUUGAUAUGGACACAUUUGUGUGGCAUAAUUGUACAAAAACAUGCAUGGGAACAGCAAACUCUAAAUUGGGGAUAAUGAUUACCUUUAAGGAGGGAGAAAAGGGAAUAGGGGGAGGUGGAAGGGCACAGAUAGAAUUUCUGUUUUUUUAAUUUAAUUUUUUUUUUUACACGGAGUUUCACUCUUGUUGCCCAGGCUGGAGUGCAAUGGCGCAAUCUUGGCUCACCACAACCUCUGCCUCCUGGAUUCAAGUGAUUCUCCUGCCUCAGCCUCCCGAGUAACUGGGAUUGCAGGCAUGCACUACCAUGCCCGGCUAAU
rnacentral:lncRNA from 10 species